UACGUAGGGUGCAAGCGUUAAUCGGAAUUACUGGGCGUAAAGCGUGCGCAGGCGGUUUUGUAAGACAGAUGUGAAAUCCCCGGGCUCAACCUGGGAACUGCAUUUGUGACUGCAUGGCUGGAGUGCGGCAGAGGGGGAUGGAAUUCCGCGUGUAGCAGUGAAAUGCGUAGAUAUGCGGAGGAACACCGAUGGCGAAGGCAAUCCCCUGGGCCUGCACUGACGCUCAUGCACGAAAGCGUGGGGAGCAAACAGG
rnacentral:rRNA from 1 species